UGAGUAACACGUGGGUGAUCUGCCCUGCACUUUGGGAUAAGCCUGGGAAACUGGGUCUAAUACCGAAUAGGACCGCGCGCUUCAUGGUGUGUGGUGGAAAGCUUUUGCGGUGUGGGAUGGGCCCGCGGCCUAUCAGCUUGUUGGUGGGGUAAUGGCCUACCAAGGCGACGACGGGUAGCCGGCCUGAGAGGGUGUCCGGCCACACUGGGACUGAGAUACGGCCCAGACUCCUACGGGAGGCAGCAGUGGGGAAUAUUGCACAAUGGGCGCAAGCCUGAUGCAGCGACGCCGCGUGGGGGAUGACGGCCUUCGGGUUGUAAACCUCUUUCAGUAUCGGCGAAGCUCCAGGAUUUUUCUUGGGGUGACGGUAGGUACAGAAGAAGCACCGGCCAACUACGUGCCAGCAGCCGCGGUAAUACGUAGGGUGCGAGCGUUGUCCGGAAUUACUGGGCGUAAAGAGCUCGUAGGUGGUUUGUCACGUUGUCCGUGAAAACUCACAGCUUAACUGUGGGCGUGCGGGCGAUACGGGCAGACUGGAGUACUGUAGGGGAGACUGGAAUUCCUGGUGUAGCGGUGGAAUGCGCAGAUAUCAGGAGGAACACCGGUGGCGAAGGCGGGUCUCUGGGCAGUAACUGACGCUGAGGAGCGAAAGCGUGGGGAGCGAACAGGAUUAGAUACCCUGGUAGUCCACGCCGUAAACGGUGGGUACUAGGUGUGGGUUUCCUUCCUUUAGGGAUCCGUGCCGUAGCUAACGCAUUAAGUACCCCGCCUGGGGAGUACGGCCGCAAGGCUAAAACUCAAAGGAAUUGACGGGGGGCCCGCACAA
rnacentral:rRNA from 1 species